rnacentral:rRNA from 1 species
GACGAACGCUGGCGGCGUGCCUAAUACAUGCAAGUCGAGCGAAUCUCAGGGAGCUUGCUCCCUGAGAUUAGCGGUGGACGGGUGAGUAACACGUGGGUAACCUGCCUGUAAGACUGGGAUAACUUCGGGAAACCGGAGCUAAUACCGGAUACUUUCUUUUCUCGCAUGAGGGAAGAUGGAAAGAUGGUUCUGCUAUCACUUACAGAUGGACCCGCGGCGCAUUAGCUAGUUGGUGAGGUAACGGCUCACCAAGGCAACGAUGCGUAGCCGACCUGAGAGGGUGAUCGGCCACACUGGGACUGAGACACGGCCCAGACUCCUACGGGGGGCAGCAGUAGGGAAUCUUCCGCAAUGGACGAAAGUCUGACGGAGCAACGCCGCGUGAGCGAAGAAGGCCUUCGGGUCGUAAAGCUCUGUUGUUAGGGAAGAACAAGUACGAGAGUAACUGCUCGUACCUUGACGGUACCUAACCAGAAAGCCACGGCUAACUACGUGCCAGCAGCCGCGGUAAGAC